GCAGAAAGUCAAUGAUCAAAAAUCCUGGAAGCAGCCAGACGGGAAAACAACAACAACAAAUAAACCUUACCUGUAGAAGAACAAAGAUAACAAUCACCUUCAACAUCUCAGAAACUAUGCAACAAGAAGAGAAUAGAAUGAAAUAUUUAGAGUGUCAAGAGAAAAAAGCUACCAACCAGGAUUUCUGCACACAUGGCAUGUGGCCAAUCAUGGUAUUAACCCAGAUCAUCAAUUUCUCAACUUAACUGCAAGGAGUUCAUUAAGCUUGCAGACACCUGCCUUCAGAAAUGAGGACCCAUCAUCCCAGGAGCAGAGGGCCAUGGAUUCUCACCUCCACUAACUCUUCACAGUCUAUUUCCACAGCCACCUCAACAUUGUUGCUGCCCUGUCCAAAAGAAGAUGACUCCAAGGAUGGUGAGGAUUCAGACAGAAGGACCAAUGUUGUGACUGUAAUUCGUCUCCUCCUCCAUUCUUCCUUUACACUCCCAUGGCCUUUUUUCUGUCUAAAUCCACUUCUGAUAUUUCUUCCUUUUCUUAUAAGAACAUCAGUGCCAUUGGCUUAGGGCUUCUACCCUUAUGACCUCAUCUAACAUUAAAUACCUACUUACUGGCCUUAUCUCCAAAUAAAAUUGUAUUGGGAGUUAGACCUUCCACAUAUGAAUUUUGGGGAGGGCACAACAGGAGGGAAGGGAGACAAAUCACAAAGUUUUUAGAGCCCUGGAGUUAGAUGUUGUCAGAAAAAUGGAGAGAAGAAAGUAAAUCUAAGGUACGUUUUGGAGAUGGAUUGGGUAGGCUAAUGGUAGAUGAUGCCUCCAUCUUCCAUACUCUGAUUGAAGUGAAGGAUAGAUGAAGGCAACAAUUAUUGCUAUGAAUUAGAUUAGAAGGGAAGCAUUCUGAGGCUAAGGAAGGAAGGAGAUAAAAGUUCAUUUGGGACAUAUUCAGUGAUACUGUUUUAGUGGUGAGUCACACAUUGAAAGUCAGGACACCAAGGCGUUUCUUUCCAGGAAGCAGCUUCAUUUGUGCCAGCACGGGCUCUGCAGGCUAACCCAACAGGCUGAGCCCUGAGUGCAGCCGGGUUUGCCUCUUGUAUAAAUUUUGCUCCUUUGUCUCCCUUAAUGGUAACAUACAGUCCCAAUGGGCAGUCUGUGUUACAGAGUCCUGAGGAAUGUCACACAUGCUCACAUAGCCAGGUUUCCUUCCCUUGUCUUGAGGUUUUCACCACAUUCCUUAGGAAGGGGCUCUACCACCCUGUGAUUAUGAAUUACCCAAGGAAGAACUUCUGGAAAAGGAAUACCUAAACAGAUUUCCAUGUAUGAAGUGAAAUUUAACUUGUAGGGACUUAGAAGGUGUCAGAGCUAGGGAAUAAGUGCAUUUCAUGAAUUGAGAAUAGCAUUUGUAAUGGCUUUUAGAAUACAAGGACUUUGAAGAGUUUUAGGGGCUGGUGAAUUAUGGACAAAUUUUAUUAGGUCUAAUUCACAUUAUGACAGAAAUUGGCUUAAUUAUAAAUUCAGAGAUAUGUGUUCUUUGGGAAUUUGCAUAAGAUUUGUAGUAACAAGAAGGAAUAUGACAGUUGAUCGAGUUGGUAUUUCUUCAAAAUAUCCUGUCCUCUAUUUGUAAGCGAUGCAUUCUCACUUGGAUAAGACCAAAGAAAACACAAACAAAACCCCAAACCACUUAAAUGAUUAUCUUACAUGUAAUCCAGACAAUAAAUGAUAUAUAAUAAAACUUACUAGUAAUUGUUUCCUGGGUUUUGAACGGAAUUGCCACAUUGUGUUUCCUUUCUGUACAAACUCAAAGAACUGGAUUAUGCAUAAUACCAAUAUUAUGUAUAAUCGAUGCAGUCAGAGUACCUGGAUAUUUCAGACUCUAUGUCAAAGAUUAAUUACUGGGACCCUCAUCAAAACCCAAAUGAUACCUUACAUAUUUACAACAAAUUAAUA